CCUACGGGUGGCAGCAGUGGGGGAUAUUGCACAAUGGGGGGAACCCUGAUGCAGCGACGCCGCGUGGGUGAAGGAGUGCUUCGGCAUGUAAAGCCCUAUCGGCAGGGAAGAAGCAAGACGGUACCUGACUAAGAAGCCCCGGCUAACUACGUGCCAGCAGCCGCGGUAAUACGUAGGGGGCGAGCGUUAUCCGGAUUCACUGGGUGUAAAGGGAGCGUAGACGGCCAUGCAAGCCAGGGGUGAUAGCCCGGGGCCCAACCCCGGGACUGCCCUUGGAACUGCAUGGCUGGAGUGCGGGAGGGGCAGGCGGAAUUCCUGGUGUAGCGGUGAAAUGCGUAGAUAUCAGGAGGAACACCGAUUGCGAAGGCAGCUUACCAAGCUACUUCUGACGUUGAGGCACGAAAGCGUGGGGAGCAAACAGGAUUAGAUACCCCGGUAGUC
rnacentral:rRNA from 1 species